AAGGGCCAUGCUCUGAAACACCAGAAGUAAAGAGAAAUCCUUGUUCAUCUCAGUCGAUUUUCUGAGGCCGUUUAUCACAGAGACUAACAGAACAGCUUAGACCAACUUGGAUGAAUAAUUCUUGACUCCUGGAUCCACUAGCAUUUGAAAACCAGUAAUUGAGAUGAAGAGGCACUGUGUGCAUCAAAAUGGAUUCUGACAUAUCCUAGCAUUAUCUCUCCUCCAGAAAGUAUUUCAGCACAGCUUCCAGGAGUGCUACUGUUUAGAAAGUGAACCUGAGCCAACACCGAUGAAAUGCUCACUGCAGUUCUUCUUCGAGGAUCAGAACCCUGUUUGGUAAGGCCUCGGCCUCAGAAGAGUUGCUGUGUGCAUCUUAUCCUUAGAGAUGCUUCCCGUCGUGGGAGGCGAACUCAUCAUAUCACAUCAUCAGACCUGAUUUCCGACUCCAAACUGUACCCACUUCCAGCUUGGUGACCAUGAGAAGGUUUCUCAGAUUCUCUCUCUUGGUUAGACAGUCUGGAGGAAGAUUACUGAUUAACUCUGAGGCCUUUCACAAUUCUGCCACUGUCCUGUGCUGCUAACUGCUGUUUUCACAGAAUCUCUCCCAUCUCUGUAUCCUUUCACCGUGCACAAAAGCACUGUGGUUGAUAUAAAUAAUUAGCCUUUGCAAUAUGAUUAGACUCUUUAGGGGGAAGUCUCUGACUCCCCAAGUAUUUAGAAUUCCAUGUUGUGCACAAUCUCCCCGAGAACAGAUUUUGAGAUAUUCUUGACCUUCCUUAUGCUUCUCUCUGUGUAUAAGGGUUAGUGUCUUCCUCUGGAUUUAAGAAUAACCAGUAGCAAGCCCAACACAUUAAUUUAUGCCUAAAUAUGAUUUGUAGUUAAAAUUUGAAGCGAGAUAAUUAACUGUUCAGUGGAUCUGAUUUUUGAAACUUUAGAACUUCUUUAAAAUUUACAGACCUUGGCAAUUAUCUUAAAGUUUUUUUUUUAAUUUUCACCUUUACUGGAGUGAAUUUAUUUAGAAAUAUGCUAUUUAUAAACUGCAUUAAUGCAAAGUAGAAAUACUUUACAAAAGACUUAUGGUGUAUUUUAGGUGACAUAGUUAUAACACAGCAGCAGCCUUUGCAAACACAUUUGCUUUUAAGUUGCCCCACUGAUUAUAAAUAGCUCACUGAAACUGCUCAGCAAUUAUAUUGAAAUGUGACAUCUCUUUUGAACAAUGAAAAGCAGAUAUAGUUCUUGUUGAUGUUAAAACUGUUCUUCUCUGUAAAUACAUUGUUCUUGAUGUUCAUAAAUUGCUAUGUGCUAUACACAGUGGGAAAAACAUAAAGAGGAAAUGAUCAUCCAUUUUUUAGAAUAGUGGUAGGACUUGAGAAAAAGAAAUUCAAAGUUUGUUUUAAUACAGUAAUAACUGGAGUUUGCUUUUUCAGAAUCAUAAUGACACCCUUAGGCUGUGUCCUAUUUACAAAUCCAUCUUACCUCGCAAAAGCUACUCAUUGAUCCAUCUAUCAAUUUUGUUUUGUACUCUGUAAUAAAUGUUAAACAAAUUGAAUUAUCAAAGGGAAGAAA